UACGGAGGGUGCAAGCGUUAAUCGGAAUUACUGGGCGUAAAGCGUGCGCAGGCGGUUUGUUAAGUCCGCUGUGAAAUCCCCGAGCUCAACUUGGGAAUUGCAGUGGAUACUGGCAAGCUGGAGUAUGGUAGAGGAAGGUGGAAUUCCCGGUGUAGCAGUGAAAUGCGUAGAGAUCGGGAGGAACACCAGUGGCGAAGGCGAGUCUCUGGACAUUUCCUGACGCCGAGGCACGAAAGCCAGGGGAGCAAACGGG
rnacentral:rRNA from 1 species